UCACAUUCUAAAAAAAAUAGCUUAUUCUAUUAGUAAGAUUCCAAUUCUUUGAAAUGAAAGGAAACAAACGGGACCUGAGUGUAAAUCGGCGGGGAAUCAUAUGUUCAUGUUCUCACUGCAAGAAUAAGCUUGUCAAAGAGGGUGGUGAAGUAAAAUCUCACCUGAUCAGGUGAGGUUUCACCGAUGAAUACACGGUUAGGAGGUUUCACAGUGAAGAGGAUGUGAGUCUGAUUGUUCCCUUCAAUGGUGAUAGCGGCACAGGUGCUCCUAGCGACGGGUGUAAGUCAUGGAGGACAAGCAACAGGAAGUCCACUGCCAAGUGCUUCCAUCGUCGUCAAAUCACAGGUCAGGGGUUAAUUAUAUGGGGAAGAGGCCAUUAUCAUCAGGUACGCGUGGUUCUCACACAGUCGGGGCCACGUUCGUUGAUGAUCUGCCUCUUAAUCGGCAUCUCAAACUCUUGUUGUGCUCUCUACAUCAGUAGAGAAGGUGUGUUCACAAGUCGUUUCUUCUUAAGACUAUGUUUUGGUUGAUCUUGAUCUAUAGAACUAUUUUAUUGUAGAACUACUGAACCCUUUCGAAGUGUUGUACUCAAUUUGUGUAGAACAAUGCAUGAUUAAUUUCUACCAAUAGUCUACGGUAGCCGGUAGUUGUUUUAUCCUACUAGAAAUUGUUGCAUGGUUAAUUGGUUAAUUUGUGUAGGAUGUGCCAAAAGAAGAGGAAGAGAACACCAUCAAUAUGAAUGGUGAAUUAUUCGUAAGCUUAUCUUCCACUAAUGGUGCUGGAAGCCAGAAGGAGAAAGAGGAGGAUGGAGAUCAUGUGUCAAGGCUCAGGAGAUAAAUCGAGGAAGAAAAAGAUCGAAGGGUGGUGUUUAGUUGUAUCCUUCCAAGUUCCAAGUUCACGGUAAAGAGAGGAAAGUGUGCUAGUUCAAGAGAGUAUGGGAUGGAGAUAGGCACCAUUGGACUUGGAGUGGAGGACAAGAUGUUACCAUUUUGCAUUUCCAUGGAGCGUGGAGACUUCUGAGUGCUUCAAUCUUUUUAUUAAAAAUCAGUCUGAGCGAUGAUGAGUCUAAAGAGACUAAGACUAUAUCAUAAUCUACGAUGGAUUUAAUCUAUAAGGUGGAUAUAUCACAUAUGGUUGCCAAUCUUGUAUAUUUCAUAUUUGCAUGGUUGUAGUUGCACUGUUGCAAUCUUAAGACCUGUAUAGUUGCAUA